rnacentral:rRNA from 2 species
AAAUUGAAGAGUUUGAUCAUGGCUCAGAUUGAACGCUGGCGGCAGGCCUAACACAUGCAAGUCGAACGGUAGCACAGAGAGCUUGCUCUCGGGUGACGAGUGGCGGACGGGUGAGUAAUGUCUGGGAAACUGCCUGAUGGAGGGGGAUAACUACUGGAAACGGUGGCUAAUACCGCAUAACGUCGCAAGACCAAAGAGGGGGACCUUCGGGCCUCUUGCCAUCAGAUGUGCCCAGAUGGGAUUAGCUAGUUGGUGAGGUAACGGCUCACCAAGGCGACGAUCCCUAGCUGGUCUGAGAGGAUGACCAGCCACACUGGAACUGAGACACGGUCCAGACUCCUACGGGAGGCAGCAGUGGGGAAUAUUGCACAAUGGGCGCAAGCCUGAUGCAGCCAUGCCGCGUGUAUGAAGAAGGCCUUCGGGUUGUAAAGUACUUUCAGCGGGGAGGAAGGUGUUGUGGUUAAUAACCGCAGCAAUUGACGUUACCCGCAGAAGAAG